AUGGAGCUCAGGUGGAUGAGCCCCGUCCCGUGUUAUUCCCCUUGGUUUCUGAAGCUCCCAGGAUUUAAUAAUGAGUGUAGGUUGGCGUUGAAGCCUGAUGGCGUUUUUCUUGCAGCAAAUCUUGGCAAGAAGACUCUGAAGGAACUAAGAAUUGCGUGCACUAUUGCUCAAAUGGAACAUAAGGGAGACUAUGGAGAGAUCAUAGAUGCUUUCCAUGAUGAUGUGUUGUUUAUUGUCCAAGGACUUGAUAAACUAGCAGAAACCAUAGAUGCCAAGUUUCUAAUGACGAAGACUUUACGCUGGUUCAUGUUUGCAUUGGAGCUAAACCCUACUGCUCCUGAGCCCAAAUCCCAUGACCAUGCCCCCACCUCUCCUUUGUUAAAUGAAGGGAGUCUGGUUGCUAAAAAAUGUGUUUAUGCCAUAAAAGAUGGAUAUUUGUCGAAGCCAUUGUCGUGUCAUCCGAUGAACCGAGAAAGAAAGGAAGGGGAUAGACAGUCUUUGCUCGCUCCGCCCCCACCGCUUCUUAUUCAGCUCCUCACGGGCCACAGGCAUCGCUCUACGAAAAAUAUGCAUGGCCAGGUUUCUCAUCAUGAUAACCAUGUUUCCAAACUUGCUAAAAAAUACAACCAUGCCAACUUUACUCUCUCAUCAUAG
rnacentral:rRNA from 1 species